AAAAAAAAAAAAAACCCAAGACAAAUGUCUGCUGUCUCUCCGGUUUUGAGUGCAGAUGAGGACUCGCUCGAGCUUCACAUGGUGCGGCUGGAACUGGAGGAUGUGGAGAAGCAGAUCCGCGGCCUACUCGACAAGCAGGCCCAGCUGCUGGAGCGACAAACUGCGCUGGAAACAUCUUGUGCCUCUGCCCACAUAUCCAAGGUAAGCACACAGCGUGGUAUUUCCACUCCCAGCCCCUCUACGCCGUGUGUUUCUCUGUGCAGGGACCGUGCACCUAGGACUUUCCCAGCCGUGGUCUCCGUCACGCCGGCGCCAACACCCCUCGGGCCUUGGGUGAACCAGCGGCGAAAGGCGCGGGCUGGACCCUCUCCACCUCCGGUGUUCGAGAUUCCAACCAGGAACCGCUUCGCCCCUCUCCGCCAGACCAGACCCAACGCUGUGAUCGUCGGGGACUCCAUUGUGCGAAACGUCCGUGUAGCCUCAUCUAAAGGUAAGGUGCGCACACACUGUUUUUCUGGUGCUUGUGUCCUUGAUGUCGCUGCGCAGGUAUCCGGGAUCCUGAAGAAGGACGAGCGGUUGUGCUGCACGCGGGGACGAACGACACCAGGCUGCGGCAGACGGAGGUUCUGAAGAAGGACUUCUCCAGCCUGAUCGAGACGGUACGAGGCAGAUCACCCACCGCGAAGAUCAUCGUCUCUGGACCUCUUCCCACAUACAGACGUGGAGCAGAAAAGUUCAGUAGACUUCUAGCAUUAAAUGAUUGGUUAGUCUCUUGGUGUAAUGAGCAGAAUCUGGUGUUUGUCAAUAACUGGAAUCUGUUCUGGGAGCGUCCUAGGUUGUUUCGUCCUGAUGGCCUGCACCCCAGCAGCCUUGGAGCGGAACUGCUUUCAGACAACAUUUCCAAGGCGCUACACUCCAAGUGACUGCCUACCAUUGACUGCUAUGCUGUCCAUGGUAUGACCGAUGACAGCUAAUUAAAUACGUGCCCAAAAUUGGAGAUCGGCUAGCUAUCCGGCAGUACUGCAGUAGAGAAGUAGCUGCAUUGGAAGGAACCACCGCAACUAUCUCUAAGGCUACAGAAAGCCUGAUGGCAAAAAUAAACCAAAGACUGGCCUCCAAGAGAAGUCGUGGGGAUGAUUGUUCAGAAAAAAUGUCUGAUAACUGUAAUGCUCUGAAAAUGGAGCAUGCUUUUCAAAUGGGAUUGUUUGAAGAACCAGGGGGCUCAUGUAUUCAGGUAAAACAGAAAAGGGGCGGAGGGAUCAGACAUUUGAAAGCAUUGAAGACUACUACAAUGGCACAGCUGUUGGAGGCUGGCAAAGAACCCCCCCCACACACACACACACACACAAGGGAAAAGCAGGUGCUCGCACACCCGCUCACAUGCUCCACAGCGCGCUGCUUAAAGGGGAACUCGUGACAUGUUGAUGCAUAAGAGUUACCUUGCUUAACUCCCCUGGUCGGACUUCUGUUCGGGUUCCAAGUGAACAGAGGUGCAAACCUCCUAGUUUCCCCGAAUAUCCAGGUCCGAUUCAUGAAGUCGGGUAGUAUGUUUACUAGAACACCCCAGGCCCACACAUGUGGCUGUGUUGGAAGUCCCAAACAACUAUGCGUCAUACCCAGAGUUGGCUGACGAGUUCAUUAAUGUUCUUGAUGCAAACAUGUGGGUCAUGGACAUGAUUUAGUGGUGGUUUGAUGCCUGGCUGCCUGGGGAAUCCUCUGAGGGACAGCAUAUUUACUUGUUUUUCUAUGUUUGUAAAUGUUAAAAGGGAUAAAUUAUUUAUAUUUAGGUGUGAUGGUUCUCACUUUGUUCUUGUUCCAUGUUUUUUUGCAAAAAAUAAAAUUUUGCUGUGUGUGAAGAUGCUUUUCUUUUUCAAGCUGUCCAAG